rnacentral:rRNA from 1 species
CGGCUUAAUUUGACUCAACACGGGGAAACUCACCAGGUCCAGACACAAUUAGGAUUGACAGAUUGAGAGCUCUUUCUUGAUUUCAAGGG